rnacentral:tRNA from 2 species
AGUAAAGUCAGCUAAAUAAGCUCUCGGGCCCAUACCCCGAAAAUGCAGUUGAGACCCCUGCCAUUACUA